AGGGAUGUGAGUGCAUAAAGAAAAGGCCACGUGAGGACACAGCAAGAAAGUGGUCAUCUGCAAGCGCAAAAGACAGGCCUCAGAAGAACCCAACCCUAUUGACACUAUGAUCUUGGACAUCCAGCCUCCAGAACUUGUGUCCGGAAUUGGUAGGUUCUUGGUCUCGCUGACUUCAAGAAUGAAGCCGCGGACCCUCACGUGUACUGGACAACCUAAGACAGGGAAAUAAAGAUAAAGUUUGGAUUGAAGAGUGAGGAGCCAAAAUAAUGCAGCUUCACAUCUCCUUAAUGGACAGAAGACUACACUGUUUUUGCUGCACCCAGAGAUAAAAUUAUUGGUUUUGGAGUACCUUCACUGAUGCCAGUAGAAGCAUUUGAGUUCUGCAGAAAUUACUGAAGUGGUUCAAGUGUGGGCAGUCAGGACACUCAGCCCACCAUACUCAACCCCAACUCAACCUCAACUCUCAGUACGGCAGAGAGACGGAGAACUCAGAGCUAUAACUUUCAGGAAUUCUCAAAACCUCAGACAAAAUGCAUCUUUGUUUUACCACCUGUUAAAGUAUAUCCUCAUCUGCCUCAGUGCACAUAAGUAUACAACACUGCAGAUUGUGUUUAACUUCAUUUGCAAUUAAUUUAACGCAUUUUGUAUCCAACAUUUCUACUAGGAAAUAGUAUUAGUCUAUCCCCAAACUAAAAUUCACUGCAAAAAUGUAAUUCACUCAAGAAAAAUAAUGAUAAUUCUUCAAACACCUUGAGAUGUCAUUCAACAAUCAUACCCAAUGGGUAAAAUUUAGAGUUCAACAUUUAGCUUGCAUUUCUUUCUAACCAAACAUCUCAAGUUCAAAAAAUAAAGCAGAUUGUUUUGUGCA
rnacentral:lncRNA from 1 species